ensembl:lncRNA
GCCCCGGCUGCUGUGGCUAUACUGAUGUGUUCCAUCUGAAUAUCUUCUGAUUUGUGCAUCCCCGGAAGAUCUGGACAUCCGGAGCAGAGCUGCUGUCCUUAGAAAUCAUUUGGAUGCUGCCAAAGAAACAACUCUGUGUGUGGGCCUGUUUCCUGGGACCCAGCCCCGCAAGCCUCUGGAUGGACAUUCUCCUGGGAGUCCAUUUCCCAGGGUCCCUGGGGACUCUCCAAGGGUUGGGAGAGCCUGCAUAUUAAGCAUCAUGUUCUGGAGACCUGAAUACUCCAAGGGAGCUGAUUGGGACAGGCCAUUAAACUCUGGAAGGCAAGCUCUCAGCUUCCACCAGAUCCCCAGCUUUCCCCUGUUCCUCCCAAGCCCCAACCAAGAACGAGGGACAGCAUUGUUCCAUCACAGACCUACUGGGCACAGAUCAUGGAAGUUCGUGAGUCCCAGAGCAGAAGGCAUGGAGUGGUGUAGGAUCAAUGACCUGGGACUAAGAAUGAAGUUCCCUGGGACCACGAAGGGGAUUUUGCAUGGUAGAGACAUCAGUGCUUUGUUCAGCCUCUUCAGUUUGUCUGGGGAGAAAUUUUGAGCUAGAG